UGACUACUUUUUUGUUUUGUC
rnacentral:piRNA from 1 species